AGUGCUAUACCCAAAUAAAUCUUGUUCAAGCUCUUUUUUGUUGCAAACUUGUACUUUAAGCAAUUUCUGUUGCAAACUUUUUCUGAAAAAGUAGUGUCCAACUACAUUUGUAUCAGAGAAUGUUUGUUGUGCAACUCGUGUACAUUUCUUUUCUGUUUAGGGUCGUACAUUUUUAAAGCAUCAAAUAGCCCUUUGAUGUUUUAAUAUAACUGUUGAUAAAAAAAAACCUUAUCAUGUUUUCAUGAAACCUGGUAGGAUUAGGGUUAGUGUUCAUACAUAAUUUUAACAUCUUCCCUGUUUAUAGAUUCAGCUGUUUAGAUUGCAAGCAGAAAACAAACUUUCGGAGACUAUUGUGUAUAGAAGCAUUUUGUCUUUUGGAUCUUGUCCAUCUAUACACACUAUACAGAUAACGACUUUAACAUGCAGUUGUUUUCUUUCAGAUCUUUUCAGGUCUAAAUGCUAUGAUCAUCAGACGCUAUUAUGACCCGAGAGCAUGAACAUGAAUCUUCAUUAGUUGAACAAACUACGCUAACACGUAUAUCAGAAAUGACCGUUAGAGAUCACGAGUUUAACCGAGGGAAAGGAAGCAUACCAAAGUAUGGAACAUUAAGAAAAUUGAAUGAUAUACCAAGGGGUGUUCGGCCAGUUAAGUCACUUUACAGAGUUGAUGAGUCCACUAAGACUAUAUUUUGAGCGAACUCACAAAUUAAAAUACAGCGCAACAGUUACGCUGUAUACAGUGGAUUGAAAUUGAUAAACUAUAACAAGAAAAUGUUUGGCUGCGAUUAAAUCCGUCUUCUCUGAAAAUAAACAAACAUAAUUAUGAUGUUUUCUGUUGAUUGCCGCCACAAAUUUAAAUGCCAAAUCUACUGUUUUCAAUUUUGCCUUAAUAAAAUUGCUUGUGUCCAAGAUUACAUCUUUUUGGAUACCGUGCAACUUGGA